rnacentral:lncRNA from 1 species
GGUUGGGGUUAAGAAAUUGUAGAAAUUGGCGGGAUAUAGCACUUUGUGGCUAUGGAAGCUAGCGCCGACCAGUUCACUGACUAGAGACUCUGGUUUAUAUUAAUACCUUGGUGGUCGACCAGUUCACUGACUAGAGACUCUGGUUUAUAUUAAUAAAUACCUUGGUGGUCGACCAGUUCACUGACUAGAGACUCUGGUUUAUAUUAAUACCUUGGUGGUCGACCAGUUCACUGACUAGAGACUCUGGUUUAUAAUAAUACCUUGGUGGUCGACCAGUUCACUGACUAGAGACUCUGGUUUAUAAUAAAUACCUUGGUGGUCGACCAGUUCACUGACUAGAGACUCUGGUUUAUAAUAAUACCUUGGUGGUCGACCAGUUCACUGACUAGAGACUCUGGUUUAUAUUAAUAAAUACCUUGGUGGUCGACCAGUUCACUGACUAGAGACUCUGGUUUAUAAUAAUACCUUGGUGGUCGACCAGUUCACUGACUAGAGACUCUGGUUUAUAAUAAUACCUUGGUGGUCGACCAGUUCACUGACUAGAGACUCUGGUUUAUAAUAAUACCUUGGUGGUCGACCAGUUCACUGACUAGAGACUCUGGUUUAUAAUAAUACCUUGGUGGUCGACCAGUUCACUGACUAGAGACUCUGGUUUAUAAUAAUACCUUGGUGGUCGACCAGUUCACUGACUAGAGACUCUGGUUUAUAUUAAUAAAUACCUUGGUGGUCGACCAGUUCACUGACUAGAGACUCUGGUUUAUAAUAAUACCUUGGUGGUCGACCAGUUCACUGACUAGAGACUCUGGUUUAUAAUAAUACCUUGGUGGUCGACCAGUUCACUGACUAGAGACUCUGGUUUAUAUUAAUACCUUGGUGGUAGACCAGUUCACUGACUAGACUCUGGUUUAUAUUAAUACCUUGGUGGUCGACCAGUUCACUGACUAGAGACUCUGGUUUAUAUUAAUACCUUGGUGGUAGACCAGUUCACUGACUAGAGACUCUGGUUUAUAUUAAUACCUUGGUGGUCGACCAGUUCACUGACUAGAGACUCUGGUUUAUAAUAAUACCUUGGUGGUCGACCAGUUCACUGACUAGAGACUCUGGUUUAUAAUAAUACCUUGGUGGUAGACCAGUUCACUGACUAGAGACUCUGGUUUAUAUUAAUACCUUGGUGGUCGACCAGUUCACUGACUAGAGACUCUGGUUUAUAAUAAUACCUUGGUGGUCGACCAGUUCACUGACUAGAGACUCUGGUUUAUAAUAAUACCUUGGUGGUCGACCAGUUCACUGACUAGAGACUCUGGUUUAUAUUAAUACCUUGGUGGUCGACCAGUUCACUGACUAGAGACUCUGGUUUAUAAUAAAUACCUUGGUGGUCGACCAGUUCACUGACUAGAGACUCUGGUUUAUAAUAAUACCUUGGUGGUCGACCAGUUCACUGACUAGAGACUCUGGUUUAUAUUAAUAAAUACCUUGGUGGUCGACCAGUUCACUGACUAGAGACUCUGGUUUAUAAUAAUAUAUACCUUGGUGGUAGACCAGUUCACUGACUAGAGACUCUGGUUUAUAUUAAUACCUUGGUGGUCGACCAGUUCACUGACUAGAGACUCUGGUUUAUAAUAAAUACCUUGGUGGUCGACCAGUUCACUGACUAGAGACUCUGGUUUAUAAUAAUACCUUGGUGGUCGACCAGUUCACUGACUAGAGACUCUGGUUUAUAUUAAUACCUUGGUGGUCGACCAGUUCACUGACUAGAGACUCUGGUUUAUAUUAAUAAAUACCUUGGUGGUCGACCAGUUCACUGACUAGAGACUCUGGUUUAUAUUAAUACCUUGGUGGUAGACCAGUUCACUGACUAGAGACUCUGGUUUAUAUUAAUACCUUGGUGGUCGACCAGUUCACUGACUAGAGACUCUGGUUCAUAUUAAUACCUUGGUGGUCGACCAGUUCACUGACUAGAGACUCUGGUUUAUAUUAAUACCUUGGUGGUCGACCAGUUCACUGACUAGAGACUCUGGUUUAUAAUAAUAAAUACCUUGGUGGUCGACCAGUUCACUGACUAGAGACUCUGGUUUAUAUUAAUAAAUACCUUGGUGGUCGACCAGUUCACUGACUAGAGACUCUGGUUUAUAUUAAUACCUUGGUGGUCGACCAGUUCACUGACUAGAGACUCUGGUUUAUAAUAAUACCUUGGUGGUAGACCAGUUCACUGACUAGAGACUCUGGUUUAUAAUAAUACCUUGGUGGUCGACCAGUUCACUGACUAGAGACUCUGGUUUAUAAUAAUACCUUGGUGGUCGACCAGUUCACUGACUAGAGACUCUGGUUUAUAUUAAUACCUUGGUGGUAGACCAGUUCACUGACUAGAGACUCUGGUUUAUAUUAAUACCUUGGUGGUUGACCAGUU